rnacentral:rRNA from 1 species
GGGUGCGAUCAUACCAGCACUAUUGCACUGGAUCCCAUCAGAACUUCGAAGUUAAGCGUGCUUGGGCUACAAUGGUACUAAGACGAACUUUGUCGUAGGACUUC